rnacentral:rRNA from 1 species
UACGUAGGGGGCAAGCGUUGUCCGGAUUUAUUGGGCGUAAAGCGCGUGUAGGCGGCCAGAUAGGUCUGCUGUGAAAACUUGAGGCUCAACCUCGAGCUGUCGGCGGAAACCAUCUGGCUAGAGUCCGGAAGAGGAGAGUGGAAUUCCUGGUGUAGCGGUGAAAUGCGCAGAUAUCAGGAAGAACAUCGGUGGCGAAGGCGCUCUGCUGGACCAUAACUGACACUCAGGGACGAAAGCUAGGGGAGCGAAUGGG